rnacentral:rRNA from 1 species
AACGAACGCUGGCGGCAUGCCUAACACAUGCAAGUCGAACGAGACCUUCGGGUCUAGUGGCGCACGGGUGCGUAACGCGUGGGAAUCUGCCCUUGGGUGCGGAAUAACAGUUAGAAAUGACUGCUAAUACCGCAUAAUGACUCCGGUCCAAAGAUUUAUCGCCCAGGGAUGAGCCCGCGUCGGAUUAGCUAGUUGGUAGGGUAAAAGCCUACCAAGGCAACGAUCCGUAGCUGGUCUGAGAGGAUGAUCAGCCACACUGGGACUGAGACACGGCCCAGACUCCUACGGGAGGCAGCAGUGGGGAAUAUUGGACAAUGGGCGAAAGCCUGAUCCAGCAAUGCCGCGUGAGUGAUGAAGGCCUUAGGGUUGUAAAGCUCUUUUACCCGGGAUGAUAAUGACAGUACCGGGAGAAUAAGCCCCGGCUAACUCCGUGCCAGCAGCCGCCGUAA